UCUCACGAGACAACACUCGUCUACUAGGGUAACCUAAGGGUUUAACGGCUUGUUGCACGUGCUAAGUGUAAUCGUGAUUCCUACGAAAGUGAGCACUUAUCUUAAUUUUAUGCAAUUAGUUCUAAUAAAACAUCAAAGGAUCAACCAACACUUUUUGUACUCUCAUAUUGUUGUUUACUCUGAAUUGCUAGAGACUAGCAAUAAGCUAGUUGGGGGGUGUGAUGAGAGUACAAAAGUACGAUCUACAUACUACUUAAAUUAGUAUUAUUGCCAACGGAUAACGAUAUUAUCAUUAAUUUAAUAUUAUAUUUUUGAUUGGGUGCAGGUGAUCAGAAAUCAAAAUUACAAUGCGCAUUUAGUAUAAAUUGGGCUUAGACAAAUGCACAACUUAAACCACAUACGCCCAACCUCGUCAUGGUCUGAUCGAACCCACCAUUCAUCAAGCACACUUGCACUCGAGGGAUAUAUGACAGCCAUCCUAAGGCAACGCGCAAUGGGACAUCCGAGGGCUUAGA
rnacentral:lncRNA from 1 species